GAUUUCUGGCUUGAAACAUUUAGCCGGCCACGGUUUCGUGUGUUAGUGUUAGAUGUUCUGGCCAUCCUUCCAAUUGCUAUUCAUCUUUCUUCAUUGAUGGGUGAGUGGUAUUGGAUCUUUUACUUUGAAAAAAUUAGAGUGUUUCAAGCAGGCUUAAUGCUAUGAAUACAUUAGCAUGGAAUAAUAAUUUAGGACUUCGGUUCUAUUUUGUUGGUGUUCUGGAGCUGAAGUAAUGAUUGAUAGGGAUAGUUGGGGGUGCUAGUAUUCAAUGGCCAGAGGUGAAAUUCUCGGAUUCCUUGAAGACUAACUUAUGCGAAAGCAUU
rnacentral:rRNA from 1 species